GCGAGCGUAGCCAAAUGGUUAAGGCAGUGGUUUGUGGUACCACCAUUCGUGGGUUCAAUUCCCAUCGUUCGCC
rnacentral:tRNA from 2 species